rnacentral:rRNA from 1 species
GACGUGCUCCCGGAGCCGAGGCCAGUCGCAGAUACCAGCUGGCUGCAACUGUUUAAUAAAAACACAGCACUGUGCAAACACGAAAGUGGACGUAUACGGUGUGACGCCUGCCCGGUGCUGGAAGGUUAAUUGAUGGGGUUAGCGGCAACGCGAAGCUCUUGAUCGAAGCCCCAGUAAACGGCGGCCGUAACUAUAACGGUCCUAAGGUAGCGAAAUUCCUUGUCGGGUAAGUUCCGACCUGCACGAAUGGCGUAAUGAUGGCCAGGCUGUCUCCACCCGAGACUCAGUGAAAUUGAACUCGCUGUGAAGAUGCAGUGUACCCGCGGCAAGACGGAAAGACCCCGUGAACCUUUACUAUAGCUUGACACUGAACCUUGAGCCUUGAUGUGUAGGAUAGGUGGGAGGCUUUGAAGUGUGGACGCCAGUCUGCAUGGAGCCAUCCUUGAAAUACCACCCUUGAAUGUUUGAUGUUCUAACGUAGGCCCGUUAUCCGGGUUGCGGACAGUGUCUGGUGGGUAGUUUGACUGGGGCGGUCUCCUCCCAAAGCGUAACGGAGGAGCACGAAGGUUAGCUAAUCACGGUCGGACAUCGUGAGGUUAGUGCAAAGGCAUAAGCUAGCUUGACUGCGAGAGUGACGGCUCGAGCAGGUACGAAAGUAGGUCUUAGUGAUCCGGUGGUUCUGAAUGGAAGGGCCAUCGCUCAACGGAUAAAAGGUACUCCGGGGAUAACAGGCUGAUACCGCCCAAGAGUUCAUAUCGACGGCGGUGUUUGGCACCUCGAUGUCGGCUCAUCACAUCCUGGGGCUGAAGUAGGUCCCAAGGGUACGGCUGUUCGCCGUUUAAAGUGGUACGCGAGCUGGGUUUAGAACGUCGUGAGACAGUUCGGUCCCUAUCUGCCGUGGGCGUUGGAAGAUUGAAAGGGGCUGCUCCUAGUACGAGAGGACCGGAGUGGACGCACCACUGGUGUUCGGGUUGUCAUGCCAAUGGCACUGCCCGGUAGCUAAGUGCGGAAGAGAUAACCGCUGAAAGCAUCUAAGCGGGAAACUUGCCUUGAGAUGAGUCUUCCCUUGUCCCUUGAGGACACUGAAGGAGCGUUCGAGACGAGGACGUGGAUAGGCUGGGUGUGUAAGCGUUGCGAGACGUUGAGCUAACCAGUACUAAUGAACCGUGAGGCUUAACCU